rnacentral:lncRNA from 1 species
UUUGGAGAUAAAAAUGACAAAGGAGAACCUCCUGAACAGCAUCCAGUUUGCUUUUAGCUUUAGCCAUCUCUCUGACCUCAGUGCUGCUGGACUCAGUUCCAAGAUCUAACUGUCAAAUGCUUUAGGGGAAACGGGAAGAGAAGUCCCUGGAGUAACCCAUGUGCGCAGCCUGGCACUGUUUUCACUUGCCUUUGGAAAUGAAGGUGCAGAAACCAUGGGAGGAACCUGAUGAAAUGCCUGGUCUAACAGGAGGAUGCAGAGAAAGUUAUGAAGAGAGGAUCCUGAGGAAUUUGCUCCUGGGCCAUGAAGAUGGGAAGCUGAGUCAGAGUGCAGUUCUUCACCCAAUCCCACAGCCACACGUGCCUGCUUGCUCACGGGAUCUUCCCACUCUCCUCGGGAAGGCUUCCGAGCUGCUUCCUCAGGAUGUCCUGUGAUAGCAGCCUGACCUGUCAAAGCCAUGCGAAUACCAUCUGUUCAGUUAUAUAACUUGAGAUCUGGGAAGAAUUCUCAACGUAGGAUUUGCUGCCCAAAUCAAAUCAUUUUCAGAAAGGAGAUUAAGCAUUCUUUGCUGGGAAAAGGAGAAAUUACCAGAAAAAAUUAUCAUUUCACUGAGUAUAAACAAACCUUUGUCCAAAAUACACAAAUGAAAAUGACAAAUUUGCUUCAUUAAUAUUUGCUUGCAUUAAAAAUAUACACAGGGCUAUGUAUGGUUCAAUAUCUUAAGUGCAAAGUAAAAUCUUAAUUAGGAACAAUGGAAUUGUUAAUUUAAUGAAUCUUAAUUUUGUUUAGAUCAUUAGCCUGCAGUAUAAUGUCCCAAGCAGAAUUUGGGGUGGGGAGCUUGGUGGUGGAAGAGGAAGUGCUCAUUUCUACAGACAUGACAAGAUUAUUAACACUAAAGAAUGACUUUUCUUUCAUGGGAGGGGAAGAUAUCUGACCCACCAGCAGUCAGACAGAAACCCUGACUUGUGAUUUUAACAUUACCUUAUAUGACCCAUGGUCACCUUGUAUGACCAAAGAAAACCAUUUAUGAAAUAGCUGUCCGGAGUUCAAGAUUUAAAUGGUAACUUUGUAGACUAGGUUUUCUCUCAUCAUCUAAUUUACUUGCCUUAACGCUUGUUUCUUUGCCCUUAUUCCUACUGGCUCUCGAGUAUAAUAUCCUGAGAAUUUAUGUUGAACAGCACUAAUUUUUUCACUUGGAGCUAGCACAUGUUUAUGACUAGUACAAGUUUAUAACUACAAAAAACAGAGAUUUUGUCAUCUUAAACUGAAUUUACUGGGAAUAAAAUCAGUCAAUUCAGAAAAGUAUAACAAAGGAAAUAAAAAUCACCACAACUCCUACUACCUGAAGAUUAAAUGGUUAAAGUGUUU